GCGUUCUGAUCUAGACAGGAAACACUUCUCAUCAGUCUUCCUUCAACACAAACAUGUUUGCUUCAGCUCCACUGCUGCUGCUGGCUCUCGCCCCCUAUGUGUUCUGUGCUACUGAGCUCAUCCAGCCAGACUCACUGCUUAUAAAGCCAGGAGAGACUUUAACCAUCACCUGUAAAGUGUCUGGAGCUUCUAUCACUGAUAGCAGCAGCCACUAUGGAACAGCUUGGAUUCGACAACCUGCAGGAAAAGCUUUAGAAUGGAUCAACACCAUUUAUUAUAGUGGGAGUAUUGAUAAGAAAGAUUCAUUUAAAGACAAUUUUGUGGUCUCUCGAGACACUUCCAGUAACUCUGUGACCUUACGGGGACAGAACAUGCAGACUGAAGACACAGCUGUGUAUUACUGCGCUCGUCAUCCACACAGUGACACGACAAGCUGCAGUGCUGCACAAAAACCUCAUCACAAUUCACUUCUUUAAUUAAAUAACAACUAC